rnacentral:rRNA from 1 species
GAUGAACGCUAGCGGCAGGCUUAACACAUGCAAGUCGAGGGGUAGGUUACUUCGGUAAUUGAGACCGGCGCACGGGUGCGUAACGCGUAUACAAUCUACCUUUUACAGAGGGAUAGCCCAGAGAAAUUUGGAUUAAUACCUCAUAGUAUAGCAGUUUCGCAUGAAACCACUAUUAAAGUCACAACGGCAAAAGAUGAGCAUGCGUCCCAUUAGCUAGUUGGUAAGGUAACGGCUUACCAAGGCUACGAUGGGUAGGGGUCCUGAGAGGGAGAUCCCCCACACUGGUACUGAGACACGGACCAGACUCCUACGGGAGGCAGCAGUGAGGAAUAUUGGACAAUGGGCGAAAGCCUGAUCCAGCCAUGCCGCGUGUGUGAAGAAGGUCUUCGGAUUGUAAAGCACUUUAAGUUGGGAGGAAGGGUAGGUAACCUAAUACGUUGCUACUUUGACGUUACCGACAGAAUAAGCACCGGCUAACUUCGUGCCAGCAGCCG